GUCUAUGGCCAUGCUACCCUGAACAAGCCCGAUCCCGUCUGAUCUUGGAAGCUAAGGAGGUUCAGGCCUGUUUAGUAUUUGGAUGGGAGACCACCUAGGAAGACCAGGUGCUGUAGGCA
rnacentral:rRNA from 1 species